rnacentral:pre_miRNA from 1 species
AGUGGGAUAGCUGGGUCAAAUAGUGGUUCCAUUCCAAGUCUUCUAAGUAAUAUCCAUACUGUUUUCCAGAGUGGAUGCACCAAUUUGCAGUUCUACCAGCAAU